GAUGAACGCUGGCGGCGUGCCUAAUACAUGCAAGUCGAGCGAACAGACGAGGAGCUUGCCUCUCUGACGUUAGCGGCGGACGGGUGAGUAACACGUGGAUACCCUACCUAUAAGACUGGGAUAACUUCGGGAAACCGGAGCUAACACCGGAUAAUAUAUUGAACCGCAUGGUUCAAUAGUGAAAGACGGUUUUGCUGUCACUUAUAGAUGGAUCCGCGCCGCAUUAGCUAGUUGGUAAGGUAACGGCUUACCAAGGCAACGAUGCGUAGCCGACCUGAGAGGGUGAUCGGCCACACUGGAACUGAGACACGGUCCAGACUCCUACGGGAGGCAGCAGUAGGGAAUCUUCCGCAAUGGGCGAAAGUCUGACGGAGCAACGCCGCGUGAGUGAUGAAGGUCUUCGGAUCGUAAAACUCUGUUAUUAGGGAAGAACAAAUGUGUAAGUAACUAUGCACGUCUUGACGGUACCUAAUCAGAAAGCCACGGCUAACUACGUG
rnacentral:rRNA from 1 species